UUGUAUAAUUUCUCAGUGUCCUCUUCUGCAAAUUGUGAUUAAUAGUAAGCUGCCCAAUCCCCCUGUGCUAUGGUGAUGACCAAGCUGGCCGGGUUGCUGCAACCCGGGUAAUUACUAUUUCUACUGCCGUCAUUUGCAAGGGACCCGGGGUGUACCAGUAAAGGUUGAAACUGAAUGUCACUGAGAAACCCAAGUAGAAUUCUUUAUGAACAAACUUCAUUUAUUUUGUGGUUAAAAUAAGAUCCGAAGUCUUAGUCUGAAGUCCUUUCUUUCUACUUUGGUGUUUGGAGCUGACAAACUGUAAUUAGCUUAGGUAACAAUAAUGUAACUACGUUAAUAUGAUACUUAUGACAGAUAAGUUAAAUAGAGCAUGAAAUGUAGUAGAAAAGUAAGCAGGAGUAUUGAAGAGGGGAAACCCAAGCUAGGGGGCUGAAUAGCCAUUCUUUGAGCUUGUGUGUAGGACCUGCACGAAUCACACUCUGGACAGCACCAGGCUUCCAUGUUUAACAGGGUUCAGCAUGUCUCAGACUCUUCAACACAGUAUGGUCUGGGUGAGGUGUAUUUGUAUGUGUGUGUGUGUGUGUGGGGGUGUCCUUAGGUACUGAUGAAUUUGUCUCCUUAAACUGGUUUAAUUACACAGAGUUGUCUGCAGUAGUCAUUGUGUAGGCAUUAGUAAAAGUUUUAAUCUGCCUCGUUGAUUUUAUUUAUUUGGAAAACAUUUGUUGAACCUUUCCUAAGUGCCUACUCUCAAACGCACAAAGGAAACCCCACUUGAUCUCAUAUGCAAAACCAAACCGAGAUAAACUGAUGGCACCUUAGAAUCAACCGGAGCAACGGCACCAAGUUAGGAAGCAUGCAUUAUUCCUUAUUAGCAGAGACUCCUAACCACAGCCCCCUCCAUCACUUGGAUACAACAGCUGUGACACAUCUUUGGGAGUCUGGAGUAGAGAGUGCAGGCAGGCGUUCUCCUCACAAGUACUAACUCAGAGGCCUGGAGUCUGUGGACUCGAAUUGACGACACAAAACUCAGGAGGAACUGGGACAAACUAGCGACUAAGGACCUUUCCCCAGGUUCCGGGUCCUGGGAACUCUUCUAUCUGGUUUAUCCUCGAUGAAGAUUCAAGUUUACUGAUGGCUAAAACAGAACAGAGCUUUCGGCCAACCCAGUGAAAGUGGGAGGAGCUUAAAGGGAAAGUGAAAUAAGAAGCCAGGAGGAGAGGCAGAGGGGCAGCUCCGGUGGAUGGCCACACUUGGGCUUGGGGAUGGAAAGGAAGAAACACAUGGUGCCUGCUUUCUGACCGCUCAGACGACUCAUCCUCUGUGCUGCUGAUGUGUGCAUCUGUGUGGCAUUUGGCUUGUCCUAACGCCAAACUGAAGUUUAGUGUAUGUUGUUAAGCCGGUCAUGACUCGCAGGUAAUGACAACCAUUCCAAAGGCAGCUGAUGGCACCUGGGAAAAAUCAGGGCCAGAAUUUGGAAAACCUUUGGCACAUUCUUUGGAGAAGGAACAAAUAGGAGCAGAGAGGACUUAUCGAGGAGAGAAGCAAUUCACCCGCAAGAGAAACGAGCGGAAGUGGAGGCUUAAUUUUCACACAGAGCAUCGGCGGAGCCACCGAAUCAAAGAGCAGUCGGUCAACAAUUCAGUCAACCUCCAAUUUUCAUUUUCUCCAAAUAACACUCCAGUUGUCCAGUUAUCUGGGUCAGAAUGUUCCCGUCGCUGUGGGGAUCCAGCUCACCUUCAUUUUAAGCUGCCACAGUUAUUUUAUUUUUGUAGCAAAUAUUUAUUCAAUACUUUCCAAGUGCCGGCCAUCACAGGCACAAGAGAAACUUCGUAUGGUUUUUAGGUAGCAGCCGCAACAGCAGCACAAGUGCAGACUCUGCUUCCUGUUCCUUCUAGGAACCCAAGCGGAUGCAAACACACUAAAGGAAGGCCAGGCGAAUUCUCCAGGACCACACAGCUCGGAAAGCCACAGAGCAGGGCUCAAGCUUGGGGCACAGAUCGAAUGCAGACAGUAGCCCACCUGCAGACCAUUAGUCGACUCUUCCUUUAUAGUGGGAAUCCGAAUUUCCUAAAGGGCUUCACGGGAAGGUCAAGCUUACGAGGGCUGGUCAGCCCCUGUGGUUGUACGGGAUCCUGUGAUGGGAUUUUAGCCCACAGUAGAAUAUGGUGGAAGUGAUACUUUUAAUUUCUAACUCUGAUUGACCUUUAUUUCUCAUGUCCAUUGCGCUCUCUCUCUCUCUCUCUCUCUCUCUCUCUCUCUCUCUCUCUCUCUCUCUCGGUGAGCCAGUAGAAGACUCUGAGACAAUCGGAGAUGAAGGAUCUGAGACAAUCGGAGAUGAAGAAACAGGAUACCGAAACCCCAAGUGGUUUGACCUGGCGGCUGACCAGCUAAGAGCCCAGGGAGGGGAGGAAGCAUUGGUAUGGCCCUGGAGGUGGAAUUAUAUCUGAACAUAAGUCUGUUGCCUCUGUGACACUGUCUUCAUCAGCAAAGCACAAAUUCGAAGCUACUCAUCGAAUUGUUCUGCUUGGAAAAACUGCCUCUGAAUUCCAAUAACUAAACUACACUGACUUUGUAACUGAAUGGAACUCAAUGGAACUUCCCAAACUCAACUGAACUCCAGUCAGAGGGAUUAAAGAUGAAGAUGCCUUUAGGGUCUGAGUCACAGACCAUGGCUGUCCUGCUCAUCAGAGAAUUCGAGGGAAGAGACUUGCUGAUAGCAAUGGGUAAGUGAGAUCCAGGAUUGUAGGCCUAGGAUGACCCGGGCUAAGGGCACGAGCUUGCUAAUUAUGCAAAAUUCAUCCAAAAUCCUGGCAGCUUUACCCGGGUCUAAAUGAUACCUCAUUUUGGUAUCACUUGAAAUGUUAGAUGAGUUAAUAUGUACACAGUUCUCAGUACAGUACUUGUUGAAUAAACAACCCAGAAACCAGAGUGGCUGUUGUGAUUGAGAGAGACUUGGGGGCCAGCUUUUCUUCUUUAGCAUCAUUCAGUAUACUAUCCUUCAACAUGUUAGUCAAACUAUAGCCCACAGAUCAAAUACAGGCCUCUGCAUGUGAGCCAAGAAUGUUUCUUUCAUUUCUAAGUGGUUGCAAGGUGAUCAAAAGAAGGCUAUUUUGUGACUUAUGCAAAUGACAGGAAAUUCAACCUUCGGUGUCCAUAAAUAACAUUCUGUUGGAACCCGGCCACACCCAUCAGCUCUGCCCUGACUAUGGCUCUUGCUGGGUCGUAAGCGCAAGAGGAAAUUGCAGUAGCAGUGAGCAGAUGGCCUGGCCAGCCAAACACCCUACUGGCCUUUACCUCAAGUAUGCAGAGUAGGCUUUAGGGAGUCCUAGGCACAGAGCAAAGAUGAGAUGUUGUUUCUCUUCACAGAUCCAGAGAGGGUUCAGCUCUCUGUCCCUCGGCAUGGGCUUUGCGUGGCUUUUGCUAAUGGGACCAUUUGUCUAAACUGUCUCCUCACCUUCCAUGGGUCAAAGCGGAGUUGUUAAUGCUUAGGAAUCAGCAUCCUGAAAGAAGAAGGCCAGCAUUUCACGUCAGCCGGAUUUUGUGUUUGAAUACAUCCACAAUGGUUGAUCUGAAGUUUACCAAUUUUCAUGCCAACUGCCUUUUUAAAAAAAAAUAAAUCCUUAUUACUUUGAACAUCGGUUCUGGUGAGGUAACCAGACCCACAGCACUUGGCCCCUGCUCCUAGCCUUGCUACUGCUCUGAUGUCUGUGCUCAAUGCACAAGGAAGUAAUGAUUAGUUGGGGGAGGGGGUAUUGAUUUAUUCUUCUGUCAGAGUCUUAGCUCAGAAUGUGUUAUUUCAAAAUAGUCACCGCACGUGAGGGAUUCGACACAGAGGGAAGCUGACACCAGAGGUAGAAACCACUAGGAACGAAGAAGACUGAGCCCUGGAGAAAGAUCUGACACAUGUAGUUUUUUUUUCGUUGUUGUUGUUGUUUUUGUUUUUAAUUUUAAUAGCCUAGUGAGUGUCACAGAGCCUACUGAUUUGUCUGUUUUAUCCAUAAUCUUCUGACUUAGCUAUUCUCUGAGCACGGCUGAAGUGAGGAACAGAGGGUAUCUAAGGUGAGUUUCUAGCCAAGGAAAAUAAUAGCUAAUGCUAAGGUGUGGGGUGACUGUCUCUGAAUCCCCUCCCUCCUCUGGGUUUGCCACGGGAUCCAUCUUUCAUCUCUGGCUUUACGUUUGGGACGAGCUGAGUCGCUCUUUCUGUGUUGAUUACACUCGGUGCCCGAGGCUAGGUCUACCGUAUUCCUCCAGUGCAUAACACGAGGCUAUCACAGAGCAAGUGUCUAACAAACGGAGCUCAGCGCACUGCACCCGGUCUAACUCACAGCUCUCUUGUCUCACAGGCAAUUUUAGGGACCCCAAGAGAGAGGUUUAUCUCCAUAAAGCAAGCCCUUCCGGGGUCCCACAAAGUCUGUAUGAAAGCCCACACAUGCCCUCUGCCUUGUGGUCCUUCAGUCUGCGUGCUAAGUUUUCCUAUUCAUCCAAGCCAGGGGAAAUCUGACCGAUAAUGGGAGAAGCACUCGCUACAAGAGGUUUAAACAAGCUGCCGAGAGCACAGAGCACAGAGCACUGCAAAAGCCCACGUUCAGCUCCGGGCAGGGCCCAGUGUGCGGGGAGUCUGAAGAGACUGGCGGCAUCUCUCUCCAAGUGACGCGUGUGAACAUUAAAGACAACAAUGACCUUCAAAACAGUUUGCAUCCCAUCUUUAACCUUCAAAUUGGCAGUCGGUUGGUCUCACACCCGUGCCCUCCUUUUUGCCCUUCUUUCUGCCUCGCCAAGUCACCAACUUCUCUUUUUUUCCAGGUUUUUUUUUUUUUUUUUUUUUUGUGGUCCGUGACUUGGUGCCGAGCCAGACAUAUCUGUGAAUUUGCAUGUUGUGGGGUCACCCCUAGGCUGGCUUCCAAGGCCCAGCAUGGUAAAGAACUUAUUUGGGGUAGAAAGCACGUUGAUCAGAAAGUGUUAUUUUUACAGUCCUUGUUUUUAUUAUUGUAACCAAAUUCCAGAAACAUACUUGGACUGAGGCUUCAGCCUGACGCACAAAGGCCUUACAGAGUUCUUCAGGCAUAGUAUAAUUUUAGCUCAGGCCAGCGGCCGCCGUUAACAAAGCAAGGAACCUUUCCACUGUGUAUUCUCUUCCCUCUCUGAGCAGAAAACAAACUUUGGGUUGUCCUGGGGUUUGUGGGUCGAUUCUUUUGCCCGGAGAACUGUAAGGCUUUGCUGCAUGAGGGAGCUAAGCUCAUGGCUAAAACAGGCAGCCCUAAACUGACAGCAUCAGGCACCAGUUGUUCCCACAGUCGCUCCCAAAUCAGGCCCAGACAGGGCUGGAAAACACAUUCUUUCUUCUUUACCUCAGUUAAUGUGUGUGUGCGCUAUUCGUGUUGACACUGGGACACAGGGGAGAAAGAACUUGAGGCUUAGAUAGCCGUCCAAGGAUUACCUCACAGUUACUGUGCCCGAUGUGCUUGUUCAUAUAUUAAAGUCUCUAAUAUCAGUACAAUCAUCAAAUUUGAUCAUACUCCAUCAUUUGAUUAGUAGCGAUUUUUUUUUAAUUUCUGUAGUAACACACAAAAUUAACGGGUGUGAGACAACCAAUGGUGCCUCAGAUUUAACACUAGGAUAUCCGAUAUUGGUGCUUGAUCUGUGCCUGCAGUUGGAAAGCCCAAAUAUACCUGUCAUAGUCUAUGAAGUUCCUAAGUUGUGGUGUUCCUAUCUGAAAGUCCACUGGUGUCACCUCUAGUUUUACUGUCCAUGUGUCUAUGCUCUCUGUGUCACACAAUUAACAUUCACUGAGCUCUCCCUGACCCUGGGCCUUAGCCUAAGUACUUUCCCUUCUCUCCUCAUUGUCCUAUAGAGAUGCUGUUAUGACCCUGUUACCCACGUCUGGUGACAUCCAGAGGGUCAGUGAGUCUGCACCAGUCCUCCUGCAUUUUUAACCAUCUGUCUUCCUGAGUCAGAUCCUGUUGCUGAGUUUUGAGCUAAUUUAAAACUCUAUCUCUCACACCCGCCAGGUGACUGACUGUGUGGAAGAAGGCUCCAGGUGACUGACUGUGUGGAAGAAGGCUCCAGGAGACAGCAUCGGACAGGAGAGAUGUGUGGCAAAGUAAGAAACUGGGAUCUUAACUGCUGAUUCAGAUUUUAUUCUCAGGAACAUCUUUCUUCUUCAAGUGAAAGUUUUUCCUUUCAAUCUGUAUGAGCCUUUUUUUUUUUUUUUUUUUCCUGGCUAAGCUGAUUCGGGGCUUCUUAGAGUAUUUUCCAGUGAUCAGUUUGCUUAAGUUUUGAGACAGAGUCUCACACUCUGGUUAAGGCUGACUUGGAGCUCACUAUUCAGGUUAGGCUAGCCUCGAACUCACAAAAGCCCUCCUGCUAGCAUACUCAGUACUUAGAUUACAGUUGUGAGGAGCUGCUGCACCUGACUCCAUUUUAAUCACUAAACAAAUGUGUGGGUUUUAUUUUAUUUUUGAGAUAGGACAUCACAUAGUCCAGGCUAGCCCGGAACCUCUCACCUCUACCUCCCAAGUGCUGGGAUUAUAAAACAAAGAUUUUACCCACUUUGCCUGACUCUGUCUUAUGUAACUCAAACUGGCCUGGAACUCCUGAUAUUCCUCCCCCCACAUUAUUUCAGGUGCUUAGGUUAAAAGGGCCAAGGCACGACCUGGCCCUACAGUCAGCUCUAAUCUCUGAGUCCUCGGUUACUAAGGGAAGCAGUCUAAAGAGCCGUAUUACCCAAGGUUAUAUUAUGCAGGGACCCAUGAUGUACUUAGUCAGACUCAAAUGUUAGUUUUUUUCAAGUAGUCACAGAUUAGGACUGAAGUAUAUAGUAAUGAAAUUAGUUUUCAGACACACUCAGACAGGUUAACAAACAGGCCACUACACUGUUCCUAAUCCGAAAAAGCCUCUUGUGCCCCAGCUGAGGUCCCCUGAGAAUCCUUCAGUUUUACUCUUUGCUGUUUUGUGGUAGAACCCAGUGAGCAGCAGCACAGAGGCUGCAAUGAAGACAGCGGGUGCAUAGCCCCAGUGAGGAGGAGG
rnacentral:sRNA from 1 species